GCCUAUGGCGUACCACCAUGAGAGCGCCCGGUCUCACCUGAUCUCGGAAGCUAAGCAGGGUCGGGCCCAGUUAGUACUUGGAUGGGAGACCGCCAGGGAAUACCAGGUGCUGUAGGCU
rnacentral:rRNA from 1 species